rnacentral:rRNA from 1 species
GUGCUUAACACAUGCAAGUCGAACGGAAAGGCCUCUUCGGAGGUACUCGAGUGGCGAACGGGUGAGUAACACGUGGGUAAUCUGCCCUGCACUUCGGGAUAAGCCUGGGAAACUGGGUCUAAUACCGGAUAUGACCACGGAACGCAUGUUUUGUGGUGGAAAGCUUUUGCGGUGUGGGAUGGGCCCGCGGCCUAUCAGCUUGUUGGUGGGGUGACGGCCUACCAAGGCGACGACGGGUAGCCGGCCUGAGAGGGUGUCCGGCCACACUGGGACUGAGAUACGGCCCAGACUCCUACGGGAGGCAGCAGUGGGGAAUAUUGCACAAUGGGCGCAAGCCUGAUGCAGCGACGCCGCGUGGGGGAUGACGGCCUUCGGGUUGUAAACCUCUUUCAGCAGGGACGAAGCGCAAGUGACGGUACCUGCAGAAGAAGCACCGGCCAACUACGUGCCAGCAGCCGCGGUAAUACGUAGGGUGCGAGCGUUGUCCGGAAUUACUGGGCGUAAAGAGCUCGUAGGUGGUUUGUCGCGUUGUUCGUGAAAUC